GCCAGUGUGGCUCAGUGGAUAGAGCGUCCGCCUGUGGACUGAAGGGUCCUGGGUUCGAAUCCGGUCGAUGGCA
rnacentral:tRNA from 1 species